CGACCGAGGAGGAGGAGAGGUGACACCGACCGAGGAGGAGGAGAGGUGACACCGACCGAGGAGGAGGAGAGGUGACACCGACCGAGGAGGAGGAGAGGUGACACCGACCGAGGAGGAGGAGAGGUGACACCGACCGAGGAGGAGGGGGAAGUGACACCGACCGAGGAGGAGGAGGAAGUGACACCGACCGAGGAGGAGGAGAGGUGACACCGACCGAGGAGGAGGUGGAAGUGACACCGACCGAGGAGGAGGUGGAAGUGACACCGACCGAGGAGGAGGUGGAAGUGACACCGACCGAGGAGGAGGUGGAAGUGACACCGACCGAGGAGGAGGAGAGGUGACACCGACCGAGGAGGAGGUGGAAGUGACACCGACCGAGGAGGAGGAGAGGUGACACCGACCGAGGAGGAGUGACACCGACCGAGGAGGAGGAGAGGUGACACCGACCGAGGAGGAGGAGAGGUGACACCGACCGAGGAGGAGGAGAGGUGACACCGACCGAGGAGGAGGUGGA